AUCUGCCCACCUUGGCCUCCCAAAGUGCUGGGAUUACAGGCGUGAUCCACUGCACCCAGCCCAGAAUCAACAGAUUUCUAAAUAUACUUCUUUCAUAUUAAUAUUGUGAUCCUUCCAAAAAAAGGAAUUGGAUUCCUGUUAGAAAUCUGGAGGUUAACGUUGAUAUUCAUAUUCAUAUUAUUAUGUUGGUAUUUAUAUAAUAUGUGUAGGACCUUGUAUUUAUUGAAAAACCUUUUAUAGACUUUUUGUGUUUAUCAUUUAAAACUUUUUUCAGAGGGGUUUCUGGCAUCAGAAUUAUAGAUGGUCUUUGUUAUGGAACUUCCUGAGUUACGCUGUUUCUUUGAUUAUAAAGGGGAGAUGCUAGUUUUUUUUUUUUUU